CCGUCGCUUUAGUCCACUCACCCAUCUCUCC
rnacentral:tRNA from 1 species